rnacentral:rRNA from 1 species
GGUCAAGCGAACAAGUGCAUGUGGUGGAUGCCUUGGCGAUCACAGGCGAUGAAGGACGCGGUAGCCUGCGAAAAGCUUCGGGGAGCUGGCAAACGAGCUUUGAUCCGGAGAUGUCCGAAUGGGGAAACCCGGCCCGAAUGGGUCAUCCCACACUGAAUCCAUAGGUGUGGGAAGCGAACGCGGCGAACUGAAACAUCUAAGUAGCUGCAGGAACAGAAAUCAACCGAGAUUCCCAAAGUAGUGGCGAACGAAAUGGGAACAGCCUUGUACUCUUUAGCAGUGUUGUUAGCAGAACGGGAUGGAAAGCCCGGCCGUAGCAGGUGAUAGCCCUGUAUGCGAAAACAGCGUUGUGGAACUAGGUGUACGACAAGUAGGGCGGGACACGUGAAAUCCUGUCUGAAGAUGGGGGGACCAUCCUCCAAGGCUAAAUACUCGUGAUCGACCGAUAGUGAACCAGUACCGUGAGGGAAAGGCGAAAAGAACCCCGGGAGGGGAGUGAAAUAGAUCCUGAAACCGCAUGCAUACAAACAGUCGGAGCCCUUUCGGGGGUGACGGCGUACCUUUUGUAUAAUGGGUCAGCGACUUACAUUCAGUGGCAAGCUUAACCGAUUAGGGCAGGCGUAGCGAAAGCGAGUCCGAACAGGGCGUUGAGUCGCUGGGUGUAGACCCGAAACCAGAUGAUCUAUCCAUGGCCAGGUUGAAGGUGCGGUAACACGUACUGGAGGACCGAACCCACUAACGUUGAAAAGUUAGGGGAUGAGCUGUGGAUAGGGGUGAAAGGCUAAACAAAUCUGGAAAUAGCUGGUUCUCUCCGAAAACUAUUUAGGUAGUGCCUCGUGUCUCACCUUCGGGGGUAGAGCACUGUCAUGGUUGGGGGGUCUAUUGCUGAUUACCCCGCCAUAGCAAACUCCGAAUACCGAAGAGUGCAAUCACGGGAGACAGACAUCGGGUGCUAACGUCCGGUGUCAAGAGGGAAACAACCCAGACCGCCAGCUAAGGUCCCCAAAUAUAGCUAAGUGGGAAACGAAGUGGGAAGGCUAAAACAGUCAGGAGGUUGGCUUAGAAGCAGCCACCCUUUAAAGAAAGCGUAAUAGCUCACUGAUCGAGUCGUCCUGCGCGGAAGAUGUAACGGGGCUAAGCUAUAUACCGAAGCUGCGGACGCACGCAAGUGCGUGGUAGGAGAGCGUUCUGUAAGCCUGUGAAGGUGUCUUGUAAAGGAUGCUGGAGGUAUCAGAAGUGCGAAUGCUGACAUGAGUAGCGAUAAAGGGGGUGAAAGGCCCCCUCGCCGUAAGCCCAAGGUUUCCUACGCAACGUUCAUCGGCGUAGGGUGAGUCGGCCCCUAAGGCGAGGCAGAGAUGCGUAGCUGAUGGGAAGCAGGUUAAUAUUCCUGCACCGUCGUAUGAUGCGAUGGGGGGACGGAUCGCGGAAGGUUGUCCGGGUGUUGGAAGUCCCGGUCCCUGCAUUGGAGAAGGCGCUCAGGCAAAUCCGGGCGCGGGAUUCAAGGAUGUGGGGCGAGCGGCCUAGAGCUGCGAAGCAAUUGGAAGUGGUUCCAAGAAAAGCCUCUAAGCUUCAGUCAUACGAGACCGUACCGCAAACCGACACAGGUGGGCGAGAUGAGUAUUCUAAGGCGCUUGAGAGAACUCGGGAGAAGGAACUCGGCAAAUUGGUACCGUAACUUCGGGAUAAGGUACGCCCUGGUAGCUUGACUGGCCUGCGCCAGAAGGGUGAAGGGGUUGCAAUAAAAUGGUGGCUGCGACUGUUUAAUAAAAACACAGCACUCUGCAAACACGAAAGUGGACGUAUAGGGUGUGACGCCUGCCCGGUGCCGGAAGAUUAAAUGAUGGGGUGCAAGCUCUUGAUUGAAGUCCCGGUAAACGGCGGCCGUAACUAUAACGGUCCUAAGGUAGCGAAAUUCCUUGUCGGGUAAGUUCCGACCUGCACGAAUGGCGUAACGAUGGCCACACUGUCUCCUCCCGAGACUCAGCGAAGUUGAAGUGUUUGUGAUGAUGCAAUCUCCCCGCGGCUAGACGGAAAGACCCCAUGAACCUUUACUGUAGCUUUGCAUUGGACUUUGAACCGAUCUGUGUAGGAUAGGUGGGAGGCUUAGAAGCGUGGACGCUAGUUCACGUGGAGCCGUCCUUGAAAUACCACCCUGGUUUGUUUGAGGUUCUAACCUUGGCCCGUGAAUCCGGGUCGGGGACAGUGCAUGGUAGGCAGUUUGACUGGGGCGGUCUCCUCCCAAAGUGUAACGGAGGAGUUCGAAGGUACGCUUGGUACGGUCGGACAUCGUACCUAAAGUGCAAUGGCAAAAGCGUGCUUAACUGCGAGACCGACAAGUCGAGCAGGUGCGAAAGCAGGACAUAGUGAUCCGGUGGUUCUGAAUGGAAGGGCCAUCGCUCAACGGAUAAAAGGUACUCUGGGGAUAACAGGCUGAUACCGCCCAAGAGUUCAUAUCGACGGCGGUGUUUGGCACCUCGAUGUCGGCUCAUCUCAUCCUGGGGCUGUAGCCGGUCCCAAGGGUAUGGCUGUUCGCCAUUUAAAGAGGUACGUGAGCUGGGUUUAAAACGUCGUGAGACAGUUUGGUCCCUAUCUGCCGUGGGCGUUGGAAUCUUGACGGGGGCUGCUCCUAGUACGAGAGGACCGGAGUGGACGUACCGCUGGUGUACCUGUUGUCUCGCCAGAGGCAUCGCAGGGUAGCUAUGUACGGAAGAGAUAACCGCUGAAAGCAUCUAAGCGGGAAACUCGCCUGAAGAUGAGGAUUCCCUGGAGGCUUGACCUCCUUGAAGGGUCGUUCGAGACCAGGACGUUGAUAGGCUGGGUGUGGAAGCGCAGUAAUGCGUUAAGCUAACCAGUACUAAUUGCCCGUAAGGCUUGAUCCU